rnacentral:rRNA from 1 species
UACGGAGGGUGCAAGCGUUAUCCGGAUUCACUGGGUUUAAAGGGUGCGUAGGCGGGUUGGUAAGUCCGUGGUGAAAUCUCCGAGCUUAACUCGGAAACUGCCGUGGAUACUAUCAAUCUUGGAUAUCGUGGAGGUAAGCGGAAUAUGUCAUGUAGCGGUGAAAUGCUUAGAUAUGACAUAGAACACCAAUUGCGUAGGCAGCUUACUACACGAUCAUUGACGCUGAGGCACGAAAGCGUGGGGAGCAAACAGG